UAUUCUCAACAUUACCCUCAUGAUUCACAUUACAGAUCAUCCUUGGCUGCAGAAUGCCAAUAAGGCACCCAGUGUAAAUCUUGGUGAAACUUUUCGAGCAAGACUCCAGCAAUUUUCAGUGAUGAAUAAAUUUAAAAAGAAAGCUCUUAGGGUGAUAGCUGAACACUUGUCUGUGGAAGAGAUUGCCGACAUAAAGGAAAUGUUUGAGAAUAUGGAUAUCAACA